CAACGGCUCAAAAGGCCCUGGGCCGAGGGCGUCCCCACUUCCUCCUUGUGUCCUGAGGGCCAGCUCAGCACCCAGAAACUUUGGAGUCUCCCAAAACGCUGCUGAGUCUCUGCAGGACUGGCAUCGGUCACGGGAACUUGUCUGGGAGGGACGAGAACACGCUUUGCAGAAGGAAGCUCUGCCUCCCAGAGUCCUGGGCUUGCUUGGGCACCCCAGCCAGCAGCUGCUUCCUCUCCCCACAGUGGAGACAGACCCAAGGGUCCCAGGGCAGAUGCUUCCCCCAGUCCAGGCCAGCGUGCAGGGUGAGCUCGUAAGUCCUGAUUGACAUGCGGUCAGUGGUUCAGAGAGGUUAUACUACUUGCUCAAGGUCACCCAGCUCCCAGGCCCCUGCUGUCUUCCCAGCCGCUGAGUCCUAAGCGUCCUUCCAGGUGGGCCGCUGCUCACAGCCUGUUCUCACAUUCUGCAGCAGCCUCAUCUUCCUGGAGUACAGCCCUGUGGUUGGUGGAGCAACUUCUCCAGCCCCUGGGAUUCCUAAGAAGACCCAGGAACCCCACUGCUGGUAGAGGGGGAGCAGCCAACCCAGGACAGGACAGCUGACCCCACCCCUGCCCCACCUCCCACACCAACAACCUCAUUCCCACCUGCUGCUGCUUUUUUUUUUUUUUCUUGGA